rnacentral:rRNA from 1 species
AACGAACGCUGGCGGCAGGCCCAAAACAUGCAAGUCGAACGCCACGCAAGGGGAGUGGCGCACGGGUGAGUAACGCGUGGGAACGUGCCCUUCACUAUGGGACAACGUCGGGAAACUAACGCUAAUACCGUAUAAUGACUCCGGUCCAAAGAUUUAUCGGUGAAGGAGCGGCCCGCGUCUGAUUGGCUAGAAGGGGAGGUAAUGGCUCACCAAGGCUACGAUCAGUAGCAGGUCUGAGAGGCAGGUCUGCCACACUGGGACUGAGACACGGCCCAGACUCCUACGGGAGGCAGCAGUUAGGAAUAUUGGACAAUGGGCGAAAGCCUGAUCCAGCCAUGCCGCGUGUGUGAUGAAGGCCCUAGGGUUGUAAAGCACUUUCGUUGAGGAAGAUAAUGACUGUACUCAAAGAAGAAGCACCGGCUAACUUCGUGCCAGCAGCCGCCGUAA